AUUGAACGCUGGCGGCAGGCUUAACACAUGCAAGUCGAGCGGGGUGAUGGUGCUUGCACUAUCACUUAGCGGCGGACGGGUGAGUAAUGCUUAGGAAUCUGCCUAUUAGUGGGGGACAACAUUUCGAAAGGAAUGCUAAUACCGCAUACGUCCUACGGGAGAAAGCAGGGGAUCUUCGGACCUUGCGCUAAUAGAUGAGCCUAAGUCGGAUUAGCUAGUUGGUGGGGUAAAGGCCUACCAAGGCGACGAUCUGUAGCGGGUCUGAGAGGAUGAUCCGCCACACUGGGACUGAGACACGGCCCAGAGUCCUACGGGAGGCAGCAGUGGGGAAUAUUGGACAAUGGGCGGAAGCCUGAUCCAGCCAUGCCGCGUGUGUGAAGAAGGCCUUAUGGUUGUAAAGCACUUUAAGCGAGGAGGAGGCUACUUUAGUUAAUACCUAGAGAUAGUGGACGUUACUCGCAGAAUAAGCACCGGCUAACUCUGUGCCAGCAGCCGCGGUAAGAC
rnacentral:rRNA from 1 species